AGCAGCAGAAGAAUUAACUGAAAAUAGAACAAAAGGAUUACUUAAUACAUGUUUACAAUUACUUGAACUUUAACUUUACUUUAUAGAUUCAAAAUAGGCAAAUCCCAGUACAAGAUACCUAGCACAACAUUGAUUUUAGUCUUUGGACAGAAAACCAACUUGUAAGUGGUACUCUUGGUGUAAUAAUCAAAUAUUGACAAUAAACUCCUGUCAAAUAUCAAGCCUUCCUUUGGGCCGACUUAAUAUUCACAUGGAAAACCGAAUAAUUGUCACAUAUUU
rnacentral:lncRNA from 1 species